AAAGAGACAAACCCUAGUUUCCGUGCCAAAUGUUUGACCGUUCGUCUUAUUUAAAAAAAAUUAAAAAGACAAGUCACGCAUAAAAUAUUAAUCAUGUUUUAUCAUCUAACAACAAUGAAAAUACGAAUUAUAAAAAUAUUUCAUAUAAGACGGACAGUCAAAGUUGGACACGGAAACCCAGGGUUUGCCUUUUU
rnacentral:pre_miRNA from 1 species